rnacentral:rRNA from 1 species
AUUGAACGCUGGCGGCAUGCCUUACACAUGCAAGUCGAACGGCAGCACGGGUGCUUGCACCUGGUGGCGCGUGGCGAACGGGUGAGUAAUACAUCGGAACGUACCUUAUCGUGGGGGAUAACGCAGCGAAAGCUGUGCGAAUACCGCAUACGACCUGAGGGGGAAAGCGGGGGAUCGCAAGACAUCGGGCGAUUAGAGCGGCCGAUGCCUGAUUAGCUUGUUGGUGGGGUAAAAGCCCACCAAGGCGACGAUCAGUAGCUGGUCUGAGAGGACGAUCAGCCACACUGGGACUGAGACACGGCCCAGACUCCUACGGGAGGCAGCAGUGGGGAAUUUUGGACAAUGGGGGCAACCCUGAUCCAGCAAUGCCGCGUGAGUGAAGAAGGCCUUCGGGUUGUAAAGCUCUUUUGUCAGGGAAGAAACACCGGCUCUAACACAGUCUGGGAAUGACGGUACCUGAAGAAUAAGCACCGGCUAACUACGUGCCAGCCGCCGCGGUAA